CAGAACGAACGCUGGCGGCGCGUCUUAAGCAUGCAAGUCGAACGGCAAGAGGUAGCAAUACCUCCUAGAGUGGCGGACUGGUGAGUAACACGUGGGUGACAUACCCUUCAGAUGGGGAUAGCUAUUAGAAAUAGUAGAUAAUACCGAAUACGAGCACAGGGGUUAGAGAUCUGUGAGGAAAGGAGCUAAGGCUCCGCUGAAGGAAUGGCCUGCGGCCCAUUAGCUAGUUGGUGAGGUAAGAGCCCACCAAGGCGAUGAUGGGUAUCCGGCCUUAGAGGGUGAACGGACACAUUGGGACUGAGAUACGGCCCAGACUCCUACGGGAGGCAGCAGCUAAGAAUAUUCCGCAAUGGACGAAAGUCUGACGGAGCGACGCCGCGUGGAUGAAGAAGGCCGGAAGGUUGUAAAAUCCUUUUGAAACUGAAGAAUAAGCGUUGUAGGGAAUGACAGCGUGGUGACAGUAGGUUUUGAAUAAGCAACGGCUAAUUACGUGCCAGCCGCGGC
rnacentral:rRNA from 1 species